UACGAAGGGUGCAAACGUUGCUCGGAAUCAUUGGGCGUAAAGCGCACGUAGGCGGCGCUGCAAGUCGGACGUGAAAUCCCUCGGCUCAACCGAGGACGUGCAUCCGAAACUGCAGUGCUCGAGUAUGGAAGAGGGUCGCGGAAUUCUCGGUGUAGAGGUGAAAUUCGUAGAUAUCGGGAGGAACACCAGUGGCGAAGGCGGCGACCUGGACCAAUACUGACGCUGAGGUGCGAAAGCGUGGGGAGCAAACAGG
rnacentral:rRNA from 1 species